GGCCCGGUAGCUCAGCUAGUAGAGCAAUGGACUGAAAAUCCAUGUGUCGCCGGCGCGCUCCCGGCCUGGGCCACCA
rnacentral:tRNA from 1 species